rnacentral:tRNA from 3 species
GCGGGCGUGGCGAAAUGGCAGACGCGCCAGCCUUAGGAGCUGGUGGGGCAACCCAUGGGGGUUCGACUCCCUCCGCCCGCA